CUCCUGUUCUUUGACCUCCAAGUGCCCGACUGUGUAGAGGUGGGAAAGAUGCUGUUAUUUCUCAGCAAAAUUUCUUGUCUCUCUCUGUCGAGCAUCUAGGACUCUGCUGCCGGCCCCU
rnacentral:precursor_RNA from 12 species